rnacentral:rRNA from 1 species
AGUAACACGUAAACAACCUGCCUUCAGGAUGGGGACAACAGACGGAAACGACUGCUAAUACCGAAUAAGUUCCAAGAGCCGCAUGGCCCAUGGAAGAAAAGGUGGCCUCUACCUGUAAGCUAUCGCCUGAAGAGGGGUUUGCGUCUGAUUAGCUGGUUGGAGGGGUAACGGCCCACCAAGGNGACGAUCAGUAGCCGGUCUGAGAGGAUGAACGGCCACACUGGAACUGAGACACGGUCCAGACUCCUACGGGAGGCAGCAUG